GAAAUGGCUUAGAGUGUAUUUUUUGCACUCUGAACAAGUAGCAUCUCACUUUCUCCAUCUGGAUCAGCACGCCCUGUUUACAAAUGACUCCCUGUUCAUAUGUUAUUUGUUGACUUCAUAAACACCCACAAGCCAAUGAUUUAAAUAUUUGCGAAGUAACAUCUCGCGGAUUCUCCUUGAGCACAGCUGUUGUGACUUAUGAACUUUCCGCAUUUUAGAGCAUCGACUUGUCGCAGAUUUUAAGAUCGUCUACAAAAGGCGUUAGAAAAGGUCGUUUUUUGGCUCCUAUCAAACAAAGAAAGGAAAGGAACUUUGAACAGGCCGUGCAGAUCCAUCCAUGUUCUGCCCAAAAUGUAUUUGUUUUAUUAUUUACAUUAAAAUGUCAGAAAAAACAUUGUUUCCUCGUGAGUUUUAAUCUAAUGACUUCGUGAUUUAAAAAAAAAUCACUUUCAAUGCCUCAGAAAUUAGAAGAUCAAUGGUAUUAAAUAGCAGGGUUCUAUGCUUAACGAAGUGAGUUGCAUUAUCAAGUGAAAUUAAAAUGAAAUAAGGGAAAGAAGAAGGGAUGAAAUGUAUUUAAAAUCAGUAAAAAUCAGGAUUUCGCGAAGAAUGCCUCCCGAGAAUUUGAACACAACAAAUCAUUUAUUUGAAGCGAUUUUCAUAACUCAAAUUGUUAUUGCGGAAGC